rnacentral:pre_miRNA from 11 species
UGUGGGAGCGAGAUUAAGGCUUGCUGGUCAUUUAUUACACUCGAAGUCAGUCUUUUUCUCUCUCCUAUU